AUACGUAGGUGGCAAGCGUUGUCCGGAAUUAUUGGGCGUAAAAGCGCGCGCAGGCGGAUCUGCCAGUCUGUCUUAAAAGUUCGGGGCUUAACCCCGUGAUGGGAUGGAAACUACAGAUCUAGAGUAUCGGAGAGGAAAGUGGAAUUCCUAGUGUAGCGGUGAAAUGCGUAGAUAUUAGGAAGAACACCAGUGGCGAAGGCGACUUUCUGGAACGAAAACUGACGCUGAGGCGCGAAAGCCAGGGGAGC
rnacentral:rRNA from 1 species